rnacentral:rRNA from 1 species
GAUGAACGCUGGCGGCGUGCCUAACACAUGCAAGUCGAACGGAGAUUACGGACGGAAGUUUUCGGAUGGAAGACUGUAAUUCUUAGUGGCGGACGGGUGAGUAACGCGUGGGCAACCUGCCCUAUACAGGGGGAUAGCAUCUGGAAACGGCUGGUCAGACCGCAUAAGUCGGCGAGACCGCAUGGUUUUGCCGGGAAAUGAGCAAUCAGGUAUAGGAUGGGCCCGCGUCCGAUUUGCCAGUUGGCAGGGUAAAAGCCUAGCAAAGCAACGAUCGGUAGCCGGACUGAGAGGUCGGACGGCCACAUUGGGACUGAGACACGGCCCAAACUCCUACGGGAGGCAGCAGUGGGGGAUAUUGCACAAUGGAGGAAACUCUGAUGCAGCGACGCCGCGUGAGUGAAGAAGUAUUUCGGUAUGUAAAGCUCUAUCAGCAGGGAAGAUGAUGACGGUACCUGACUAAGAAGCCCCGGCUAACUACGUG